rnacentral:rRNA from 1 species
UGCCAGCCGCCGCGGUAAUACGGGGGGAGCAAGCGUUGUUCGGAUUCAUUGGGCGUAAAGGGCGCGUAGGCGGUUUGGCAAGUCUGAUGUGGAAUGUACCGGUUCAACCGGGGCGCUGUAUCAGAAACUGCCUUACUUGAGGUCGAGGGAGGAGAGUGGAAUUCCUGGUGUAGCGGUGAAAUGCGUAGAUAUUGGGGGGAACACCAGUGGCGAAGGCGGCCACCUGGACCGGUUCUGACGCUGAGGCGCGAAAGCGUGGGUAGCAAACAGGAUUAGAU